AACGAACGCUGGCGGCAGGCCUAACACAUGCAAGUCGAGCGCGCCCUUCGGGGUGAGCGGCGGACGGGUGAGUAACGCGUGGGAACGUGCCCUUUUCUACGGAAUAGCCUCGGGAAACUGAGAGUAAUACCGUAUACGCCCUUUGGGGGAAAGAUUUAUCGGAAAAGGAUCAGCCCGCGUUGGAUUAGGUAGUUGGUGGGGUAAUGGCCUACCAAGCCGACGAUCCAUAGCUGGUUUGAGAGGAUGAUCAGCCACACUGGGACUGAGACACGGCCCAGACUCCUACGGGAGGCAGCAGUGGGGAAUCUUAGACAAUGGGGGCAACCCUGAUCUAGCCAUGCCGCGUGAGUGAUGAAGGCCUUAGGGUUGUAAAGCUCUUUCAGCUGGGAAGAUAAUGACGGUACCAGCAGAAGAAGCCCCGGCUAACUCCGUG
rnacentral:rRNA from 1 species